AGGGUGCCUGAGAAACGGCUACCACAUCCAAGGAAG
rnacentral:rRNA from 1 species